GGAAAAAGAGGGAUAAUGGAAGGGGAAAUUGAGAAGAAAGAUAAAAGAACCAGAGAAAAAAAUGCAAAAUCUGGAGAAUCUCUGUGUUAGUAGCAGUGUGACUGAAUGGAUUUUCAAGAGUCACUGGAGAGAGGAGUCACAGGAGGGAGAGGAAGAAAGACAAGGAGAGUGAAGCAAAGGAAGAGAAAGACGGAAACGCACUGGUGUGAAAUGGCCUAUUUUCAUUUCCUUGUGGGAUUCCCUUUACUCACUGAAAGAGGUUUCUUUCUGACUAGAAGAUUCAUGCUGAAUAAUCCCAACGAAUACAACAUUUUCUCCUGAAUUUUGGUUUGAUUUUGAUGAAGCUGAUCGCUGAGUAGACUGGGUUCACAUGUGGGGGAUCAUCAGGUGUAAAUCAGCAGAAAACAAAAUGCUUAGAUGAGAAUGGAUGAUAACAGACUAUAUGCUUUAAACUGUUCAGCUUCAAAGAAUUCUCAUCCAGAGUGAUCAAAUAUAAAACUAACAAAGAUUUAUUCACCAUUAGUUUUGUUUUAAAUGGUACAGGAGUG
rnacentral:lncRNA from 1 species